rnacentral:rRNA from 1 species
AUGGCCGGCGGCGCCAUCGUGGACACGGCCGGCGGAAAGCAAUACCCUGGCCAGCUCACCCUGUACGUCGUCUUCACCUGCGUCGUCGCCUCCACCGGCGGCCUCAUCUUCGGGUACGACAUCGGCAUCUCAGGCGGGGUGACGUCCAUGGACCCCUUUCUCUUGAAGUUUUUCCCGGAGGUGUACCGGCAGAAGCAGGCGGCCAGCAAGAGCAACCAGUACUGCCAGUACGACAACCAGCUGCUCCAGGCCUUCACAUCCUCACUCUACCUCGCCGCCCUCGUCGCCUCCUUCUUCGCGUCCGCUGUCACCCGCAUCCUUGGCCGCAAGUGGUCUAUGUUAGCCGGCGGCUUCACCUUCCUCGUGGGAGCCGCCCUGAAUGGCGCUGCCCAGAACGUUGCGAUGCUCAUCGUUGGACGCAUGCUGCUUGGCGUCGGCAUCGGGUUCGCCAAUCAGGCUGUGCCCUUGAUUAUUAUUGAUUAA